AUGAAUAUGGAAAAUAAUUGCAUGGAAGAUGGAGAAGGUGAAACAAGCACUGGCUUGAACAUUUCAGAAAGUGAAAGCAACAAAAAGUCAUCCCAAGCUAUGAAAGGUAAUGAAAAAAUAGAUUUGGUUCGUUCUAGCGUUCGAAAACAACUAAUUCCUGUGAUUGGGAUGGAGUUUGAGACAGAAGACUUAGCAUUUAAAUUUUAUAAUGCAUAUGCAUACAAUAUUGGUUUUAGUAUUAGAAGAAGUAGCUGUCACAAAUUCAAAAGUGGCCAAUUGAGAGACAGGCUUUUUGUUUGCUUUGCUGAAGGUAAGCGUGAAAUUGAUAAGCGUGUUUCUAAUGUGAAAUAUCAUCGUGCUGAGACAAGAUGUGGAUGCUUAGCAAGGAUGAAAAUUGGUUGUCAUUUGAAUGAUAAGUAUCGUGUCAUAGAAUUUGUUUCUGAGCAUAACCAUGUGACUACAAGUCCGUCUAAGACUCAUUUGUUUAGGUCUCAUAGGAAGAUCAC
rnacentral:lncRNA from 1 species